AAAAGAUAUAGAGGGGACAGCACAGAAGACAUUCCAGUUUGCACCGAUGACCUCACUGAGAACACUCACGGCAGGAUGACCACAUUGUGAAAACGUGUGACAGAUCGUCGUUGUUCAGAUAACCCAAGACACCAGAUAUGGCAUUGGUUAUCAUAUAACCAUGGAAUUUCAUUUGCAUCUUCUUCUGUUAAUACUGCUCUUUGUCAUUACCUGCGAGGGGGAUUCUUUCAAUGAGGACACAAAGCUGUCUCAGUUAUUCCUAAAGGUGGA